AUUGAACGCUGGCGGCAUGCCUUACACAUGCAAGUCGAACGGCAGCACGGGAGCAAUCCUGGUGGCGAGUGGCGAACGGGUGAGUAAUACAUCGGAACGUGCCCAGUAGUGGGGGAUAGCCCGGCGAAAGCCGGAUUAAUACCGCAUACGACCUACGGGUGAAAGCGGGGGAUCGCAAGACCUCGCGCUAUUGGAGCGGCCGAUGGCAGAUUAGGUAGUUGGUGAGGUAAAGGCUCACCAAGCCAACGAUCUGUAGCUGGUCUGAGAGGACGACCAGCCACACUGGGACUGAGACACGGCCCAGACUCCUACGGGAGGCAGCAGUGGGGAAUUUUGGACAAUGGGCGCAAGCCUGAUCCAGCCAUGCCGCGU
rnacentral:rRNA from 1 species